GCUAUUUGUUCUGGGGACAAUGCCUGGGAGGAAAAAAAGUCAGAAAGUCAUUUAAGCUGCUGAUAGGCUAGUGGCUCCAACACUGACAUGCCAGGAGAUGUUAACCAUGCAAUCAUGUACUGAGAUCAAGUUUUUCAGCAAUUGGUCAGUGCAUCAGAUGGCCACAGGCAACAGAGUAAAGACUCACUGUUUUAGCUAGAAGACUGAUCCUUGAUUCAUGCUGCAAUGGUAUCCUGCUAAAUGGCAUCAAAAGAGAAGCAGAAACCUCACAGCCAAACCUGAAACCAUCUUUUUUCCAAAUACCUUAUCCUAAGGAUCAACUUGGUUAAU